CACUGACAAGUAGCAGAUUGUACAGAGGAAGCCGCUUUGGUCACUCCUGGGACACGGGAGAGCUCAUGCCCAGACGUUGCUGAAAGAUGCCCAGAGCGAUGAGGUCAGCCAGAAGACAUUCCAUCAAGGCUCACCUCUUCCCUCUGAGAACACUGCCCGCACUCCCGGGAUAGACACGGAGCCUGUACAUUCCCUGAAACAGCAUCAGAAGAUUUCCUGGUGGGAAAGCAGUUCUAAAUUUUAAAUAAAAAGGAUCCUAAGAGACUACUAUGAACAAUUAUGCACCAAGUUGGACAAUCUGAAGAAAUAGGUAAAUUCCUAGAAACACACAACCUACCAAGACUGAAUCAUCUGAACAGACCAAUCACUAGUGAUGAGAUUGAAUCAGUAAUUAAAAACCUCCCAACAAAGAAAAGCCCAGGACCGACAUUUGAAGAAGAACUAACACCAAUCCUUCUCAAAAUUUCCCAAAAAAUUGAAGAGGAGGGGAACACUUCCAAACUCAUUUUAUGAAGCCAGCAUCACCCUGAUACCAAAGCCAGACGAGGACACCACAACAAAGAAAACUACAGGCCAGUAUUCCUGAGGAAGAAGAAGUGACAGAGAUCCUAAUUGGAAAGGAAGAUGUAAAAUUGUCGCUAAUUGCAGAUGGCAGGAUAUUAUAUAUGGAAAACCCUAAGACUCCACCAAAAACUAUUAGAACUAGUAAAAGAAUUUAGUAAAGUCGCAGGCCUUUACUAAAAUGAAAUAUAAAAAAUGAAUAUACAAAAAUCAGUUGUUUCUAUACACUAGUAACGAAACAGAAAGAGAAAUUAAGAAAACAAUCCCAUGUAUAAUAGCAUCAAAAAUAAUACACUAUCUAGGAAUAAAUUUAGCCAAGGAGGUGAAAGACCUGUACACUGAGAACUAUAAGACGCUGAUGAAAGAAACUGAAGAAGAUAUAAAUAAAUGAAAGGAUACUCUGUGUUCAUGGAUUGGAAGAAAUAAUAUUGUUAAGGUAUUAUUGUUAAAAUACCCAAAGCCAUCUAUAAAUUCAAUGCAAUCCCUAUCAAGAUUCCAACAGCAUUUUUCACAGAAAUACAACAAACAAUCCUAAAAUUUGUGUGGAACCACAAAAGACCCUGAAUAGCCAAAGCAAUCUUGAGAAAGAAGAACGAAGCUGGAGGCAUCACACUCCCUGACUUCAAGCUAUAUUACAAAGCUAUAGUUAUCAAAACAGUGUGGUAUUGUCAUAAAAACAGACACCUAGACCAAUGGAACAAAAUAGAGAGCUGAGAAAUAAAUCCAUGUAUGUAUGAUCAAUUAAUUUACAACAAAGGAGACAAGAAGGUGUCGCGAAAACAGGACAGCCACAUGCAAGAGAGUGAAACUGGACACUAUUUUACACCACACACAAAAAUCAAAUCAAAAUGGAUUAAAGACUCGAAUGAAAGACCUGAAACCAUAAAACUCCUAGAAGAAAACAGGUAAUAAGCGCCUUGACAUCAGU